rnacentral:rRNA from 1 species
CCUACGGGUGGCAGCAGAGGGGAAUAUUGGGCAAUGGAGGCAACUCUGACCCAGCAAUGCCGCGGGAAUGAAGAAGGUCGUCGGAGUGGAAAGUUCUUUAAUUGGGGACGAAAAAAAUGACGGUACCCAAGGAAUAAGCCUCGGCUAACUACGUGCCAGCAGCCGCGGUAAUACGUAGGGGGCAAGCGUUGUUCGGAAUGACUGGGCGUAAAGGGUGUGUAGGCGGUGGAGCGAGUUAGAAGUGAAAUACCUAGAGCUUAACUCCGGUGCUGCUUCUAAAACUGCUAUACUUGAGUGCAGUAGAGGAAAGUGGAAUUCCUAGUGUAGCGGUGUAAUGCGUAGAUAUUAGGAGGAACAUCAGUGGCGAAGGCGCCUUUCUGGACUGUAACUGACGCUGAGGCACGAAAGUGUGGGGAGCAAACAGGAUUAGAUACCCCUGUAGUC